UGGGGAAUUUUGGACAAUGGGCGAAAGCCUGAUCCAGCAAUGCCGCGUGUGUGAAGAAGGCCUUCGGGUUGUAAAGCACUUUUGUCCGGAAAGAAAUCCUCUGGGUUAAUACCUCGGGGGGAUGACGGUACCGGAAGAAUAAGCACCGGCUAACUACGUGCCAGCAGCCGCGGUAAUACGUAGGGUGCAAGUGUUAAUCGGAAUUACUGGGCGUAAAGCGUGCGCAGGCGGUUUUGUAAGACGGAUGUGAAAUCCCCGGGCUUAACCUGGGAACUGCAUUCGUGACUGCAAGGCUAGAGUAUGGCAGAGGGGGGUAGAAUUCCACGUGUAGCAGUGAAAUGCGUAGAGAUGUGGAGGAAUACCGAUGGCGAAGGCAGCCCCCUGGGCCAAUACUGACGCUCAUGCACGAAAGCGUGGGGAGCAAACAGGAUUAGAUACCCUGGUAGUCCACGCCCUAAACGAUGUCAACUAGUUGUUGGGGAUUCAUUUCCUUAGUAACGUAGCUAACGCGUGAAGUUGACCGCCUGGGGAGUACGGUCGCAAGAUUAAAACUCAAAUGAAUUGACGGGG
rnacentral:rRNA from 1 species